rnacentral:ncRNA from 2 species
CAGAUUCGCCCCGUUUCAGGUGCCCCCCGCCGCCGUGCGUGGGGUGAAACGGGAAGCCGGUGCGUCGCCCUCGUGCGAUCAGUCCGGCGCUGCCCCCGCAACGGUAAGCGAGCGGAGCAUCCACAAGGCCACUGUGCUCAGGCAUGGGAAGGCGGAUGUUUCAUGAUCCUCGCAAGCCCGGAGACCGGCCUGGAACCUGUUUGGCAA